AUGUGUUUUUGAAGAUUUUAUGUUGUAGAAUGUUUUUUGUUCUUCAAGCUACUGUUCUUAACUUUAUUUUCUCCUGUUAAUGUUCUCAAUGAUUAUCGAGCAUAUGCAUUACCAUGUGGCUUCAAGCGUGUCAGUGUGCUCUUGCUCAUAAUUUUUACUAUAUCUUGUUACUAAAAUUGCAAGUUAAUUGCAAAUUACUCAGAGCUUGGAUUGUCUCCUCCAGUUGGUUAAAGGAAAGCUACCGGGAAGGCAGAUUUGUUGACGAGUUGCCUUACAUACUAAAUGAUGAUGACUACAUAUCGAAGUAUCGAGCCAGCCUAAAAGCUGUAGUUCUCAGGGCAAAAGCAUGUUCUUGAGCUUUAUUUGAAGGGUAUGAUGUUUGCAUAUCAGCUCACGCUCAACCACCACCUAAAACUCUAUCCCUGAUAGUCAAGUCAGCCGGUGGAAAUGUGAUUCAUGAGCUAGAUAAAGUAAACAACGUAUGGAAGACGAGCUUUGUGGCUUGUGAGGAAGACGUGGAGGAAGCCUUGGUGGCCGUAGAAAAAGGGAUAUGGACUUUCAACGUUGAAUGGCUAAUGGCAUGUAUAAUGAGACAAGAAGUAGACUUGGAGGCCCCUCAAUUUGCUGAGUCCCUAUGAGAAACAAGGUCACCCUAAC